AAUGAUGGCUAAACCACCUCAAGAAUGCCUGAUGUCGUUUGAGCUCAGAAGCUAAGCAGGGUGAGGUCUGGUUAGUAUGUGAAUGGGAGUCCACCAUAAAUACCAGGUGCCACAGUG
rnacentral:rRNA from 1 species